rnacentral:rRNA from 1 species
GUGGGGAAUUUUUCGCAAUGGGCGCAAGCCUGACGAAGCAACGCCGCGUGGAGGAUGAAGGCCCUAGCGGUCGUAAACUCCUGUCUAGCGGGACGAAAGUUUUCGGGGUGAACAAUCCCGGAGAUUGACUGUACCGCUGGAGGAAGCUCCGGCUAACUCCGUGCCAGCAGCCGCGGUAAUACGGAGGGAGCAAGCGUUACUCGGAAUUAUUGGGCGUAAAGGGCGCGUAGGCGAUUUGGCAAGUCUUGUGUGAAAGCCCACAGCCUAACUGUGGAAGUGCACAAGAUACUGCUGAAUUUGAGUUCAGGAGAGGAAGGCAGAAUUCCCGGUGUAGCGGUGAAAUGCGUAGAUAUCGGGAGGAAUACCAGUGGCGAAGGCGGCCUUCUGGACUGACACUGACGCUGAGGCGCGAAAGCUAGGGGAGCAAACGGGAUUAGAAACCCCAGUAGUCC